CGUAGGGUGCGAGCGUUAAUCGGAAUUACUGGGCGUAAAGCGUGCGCAGGCGGUGAUGUAAGACAGAUGUGAAAUCCCCGGGCUCAACCUGGGAACUGCAUUUGUGACUGCAUCGCUGGAGUGCGGCAGAGGGGGAUGGAAUUCCGCGUGUAGCAGUGAAAUGCGUAGAUAUGCGGAGGAACACCGAUGGCGAAGGCAAUCCCCUGGGCCUGCACUGACGCUCAUGCACGAAAGCGUGGGGAGCAAACAGG
rnacentral:rRNA from 1 species